rnacentral:rRNA from 1 species
AGUGAACGCUGGCGGUAGGCCUAACACAUGCAAGUCGAACGGCAGCACAGAGGAGCUUGCUCCUUGGGUGGCGAGUGGCGGACGGGUGAGGAAUACAUCGGAAUCUACUCUGUCGUGGGGGAUAACGUAGGGAAACUUACGCUAAUACCGCAUACGAACUACGGGUGAAAGCAGGGGACCUUCGGGCCUUGCGCCAUUGAAUGAGGCGAUGUCGGAUUAGCUAGUUGGCGGGGUUAAGGCCCACCAAGGCGACGAUCCGUAGCUGGUCUGAGAGGAUGAUCAGCCACACUGGAACUGAGACACGGUCCAGACUCCUACGGGAGGCAGCAGUGGGGAAUAUUGGACAAUGGGCGCAAGCCUGAUCCAGCCAUACCGCGUGGGUGAAGAAGGCCUUCGGGUUGUAAAGCCCUUUUGUUGGGAAAGAAAUCCAGCUGGCUAAUACCCGGUUGGGAUGACGGUACCCAAAGAAUAAGCACCGGCUAACUUCGUGCCAGCCGCCGCGGUAA